rnacentral:rRNA from 1 species
AGAGUUUGAUCAUGGCUCAGAUUGAACGCUGGCGGUAGGCUUAACACAUGCAAGUCGAGCGGAAACGAUCCUAGCUUGCUAGGAGGCGUCGAGCGGCGGACGGGUGCGUAACGCGUAGGAAUCUGCCUAGUAGUGGGGGAUAGCCCAGAGAAAUUUGGAUUAAUACCGCAUACACCCUACGGGGAAAAGGAGGCCUCUUCUUGAAAGCUUCCGCUAUUAGAUGAGCCUGCGUCGGAUUAGCUAGUUGGUGAGGUAAAGGCUCACCAAGGCGACGAUCCGUAGCUGUUCUGAGAGGAUGAUCAGCCACACUGGGACUGAGACACGGCCCAGACUCCUACGGGAGGCAGCAGUGGGGAAUAUUGCACAAUGGGCGAAAGCCUGAUGCAGCAAUGCCGCGUGUGUGAAGAAGGCCUGAGGGUUGUAAAGCACUUUCAAUUGUGAGGAAAAGCCAAAGGUUAAUAACUUUUGGCCUUGACGUUAACUUUAGAAGAAGCACCGGCUAACUCCGUGCCAGCAGCCGCGGUAAUACGGAGGGUGCAAGCGUUAAUCGGAAUUACUGGGCGUAAAGCGCGCGUAGGUGGUUUGAUAAGUUGGAUGUGAAAGCCCCGGGCUCAACCUGGGAACUGCAUUCAAAACUGUCUCACUAGAGUAUGGUAGAGGGAAGUGGAAUUUCAGGUGUAGCGGUGAAAUGCGUAGAUAUCUGAAGGAACACCAGUGGCGAAGGCGACUUCCUGGAUCAAUACUGACACUGAGGUGCGAAAGCGUGGGUAGCAAACGGGAUUAGAUACCCCGGUAGUCCACGCCGUAAACGAUGUCAACUAGCUGGGAGAAUUUAUCUCUUAGAGACGCAGCUAACGUAUUAAGUUGACCGCCUGGGGAGUACGGUCGCAAGAUUAAAACUCAAAGGAAUAGACGGGGACCCGCACAAGUGGUGGAGCAUGUGGUUUAAUUCGAAAAUACGCGAAGAACCUUACCUAGGCUUGACAUACCAAGAAUUUUCCAGAGAUGGAUUAGUGCCUGCUUCGAGGAAUUUGGAUACAGGUGCUGCACGGCUGUCGUCAGCUCGUGUCGUGAGAUGUUGGGUUAAGUCCCGCAACGAGCGCAACCCUCGUCGUUAGUUGCUAACAGUUCGGCUGAGCACUCUAGCGAGACUGCCUUCGCAAGGAGGAGGAAGGUGAGGACGACGUCAAGUCAUCUUGGCCCUUACGACCAGGGCUACACACGUUCUACAAUGGGUCGUACAGAGGGUUGCUAAGCCGCGAGGUGGAGCUAAUCCCACAAAACGACUCGUAGUCCGGAUUGGAAUCUGCAACCCGACUCCAUGAAGUCGGAAUCGCUAGUAAUCGUGAAUCAGAAUGUCACGGUGAAUACGUUCCCGGGCCUUGUACCCACCGCCCGUCACACCACGGGAGUGGGUUGCACCAGAAGUAGCUAGUCUAACUGUUUACAGGGGACGGUUACCACGGUGUGAUUCAUGACUGGGGUAAAGUCGUAACAAGGUAACC